rnacentral:rRNA from 1 species
UACGUAGGGGGCAAGCGUUGUCCGGAUUUAUUGGGCGUAAAGAGCGUGUAGGCGGCCAGGUAGGUCUGCUGUGAAAACUCGAGGCUUAACCUCGAGAUGUCGGCGGAAACCAUCUGGCUAGAGUCCGGAAGAGGAGAAUGGAAUUCCCGGUGUAGAGGUGAAAUGCGCAGAUAUCGGGAAGAACACCCGUGGCGAAGGCGGUUCUCUGGGACGGUACUGACACUGAGACGCGAAAGCGUGGGGAGCGAACAGG